GUCUUUUUGUUUAUUAUUUAAAGUCAAGUCUGCUCACUGAAUUAAUUUAAAGAGCCGCAGUAUUUUGACUGUGCAAAGGUAGCAUAAUCAAUAGUUUUUUAAUUGAAAACUGGUAUGAAUGAUUGGAUGAAAAAUUUAUUUUCUUUAUUUUAUUAAAUUUAAUUUUAAUUUUAAGUGAGAAUGCUUAAUUACAAAUAAGGGACGAGAAGACCCUAUAGAUUUUUAUUAUAAAUUUUUGUUUGUACAAAUUAAUGAAAAUAAUAAUUUAAUUGGGGCGAUUUUGUGAUAUAAAAAACUUAAUUUUAUUUGACCAUAAAUAAAUGAAUUUUUUGGAUUAAGAGUCUUAAUGACAAGAUUAAAAUACCUUAGGGAUAACAGCGUAAUUUUAUUUAAGAGUUCAUAUCUAUAAUAAAGUUUGCGACCUCGAUGUUGAAUUAAGAAUAUAUGUUGGAGUAGAAAUUGACAUUAUUAGUCUGUUCGACUAUUAAAUUCU
rnacentral:rRNA from 1 species